AUUGAACGCUGGCGGCAGGCCUAACACAUGCAAGUCGAGCGGAGCGGCGGACGGGUGGGUAAUGCCUAUGAAUCUGCCUGGUCGUGGGGGAUAACGUCCGGAUACGGGCGCUAAUACCUCAUGCUCUCAGAUGAGCCUAGGUGGGAUUAGCUAGUUGGUGGGGUAAAGGCCUACCAAGGCGACGAUCCGUAACUGGUCUGAGAGGAUGAUCAGUCACACUGGAACUGAGACACGGUCCAGACUCCUACGGGAGGCAGCAGUGGGGAAUAUUGGACAAUGGGCGAAAGCCUGAUGCAGCCAUGCCGCGUGUGUGAAGAAGGUCGUAGGAUUGUAAAGCACUUUAAGUUGGGAGGCGUUACCAACAGAAGAAGCACCGGCUAACUCCGUGCCAGCAGCCGCGGUAAUAC
rnacentral:rRNA from 1 species